CAUUUCAACCCUGGGGUUGAGAUUGUCCAUGUAAUCGCAAAAUAUUCAACCCAGUUAUGUAAACAUGGUCGAGUUCAAACCUGUGGUUAAAAGUGCUCCAUGUAAUCGUCCCCUUAGUGUGGUGUGAUCCGCCUACUGUGGGGCAGGGCUGUACUGAAUGGUGGCAGAUUACCAUAAUCAAAUCACUUCUAUUUCGACCAGCCAAUAAGGUUUAAUUAAAAACAAUAUUAUUGUAUAAUAUAUGAUAAAAUUAUUGAAUUAUGGAAACAGUGUUCUGAACUUCUGACAAUCAUUAACAAUUAAGAAGUUUAUAAGUUUUAUAUGUUAUCGCAUCCCCUUUCUCAAUCACUCAAUGCCUUUUCUUUGACUGCCUUUCAUUAAUUAAUGCUAUACUUUAAAGAUGCGGUACAGUCCGUAUGUAAACAAAGGCUUUGUUUACAUUUCGGUAUCCAAAAUAUUGAAUUUUAUUCCACAACUAGUUAUAUUUUCAUGAUUCUAGAAAUUAUCAAGUGACAACAAUCAAGCUUUGCAAGAACAUAAAAUGAAAUAAAAACCUAACUAAACUGUUUGUAAAUAAAAAGGGGACUCCUGUGUGCACAGAUUGGACUGUACAUGCCGCAUCUUUAAUAGUAAUAAAGUCUCUGGUGUAGGAAAAUGCUCCGACUGUUAAAUAAAGUUUAACUAUAUUUUCCGUACAGUUUCUGUGCAGAGUUCGAGGGUUGAACUUCACGAAAAAUCACAGCAUUUUCCAACAAUGCCGACAUUUUGCUGGUGUAGUGUUAUAAAAAUCCGAUCAAAUAUGCUCAGGAAUAUAUUUGCUACUUUAUAGUUCUCACAAUUUUAUAGCUGCUCACACAAACGAGGAAUCAAGCCAUAUAAAAACAUUCUAAAAGUUUAUCUUGAUUGUUCCUUGGACAGAAUGUUGUGUAAAGUGGCCAUGCAAAGCAUCGAACAAAGCAUCAGUAGAGGAAACAGUAGCCAAACUGACCUGAAUCGGUGUAAUAUAAUCAAACCACGUCCUCUAAUAGUCAACGCAGCACGAGUUUUGUCUCUCCCUUUACUUUAUAGACUUGCACACUAUCUCUCACUGACUAAAAGGAAAAACCCUCUCGCCAUCAAUUUCUUGUAUAGCUUCGGUGAAUUCAGCGUCUGUUUCGUCUAACUGUAUUUCCGUUAGAGCAACAGACACAUCAAAGUUGUAUAAAUCCUCUGCGGUUGCAUCGUCUAGUUGCGAUAAAUGUCUUCGCCCUUCGUCCUCUUAUGCCUCGAUCAUAAACUGUUCGCGACGCUCGCUUUCUUCGAUAUUUUCAUCUCCAACGUUCAAAAUAGGUUCGUAUGUUUGUUCGCUUUCUGUUUCAAUUUCCACCUUGAUCUCAGAAGCCCUAUAGCGUUUUGAAAUAUGAUCUUUUGUUGGCAUAUUAUGUUCUCGCCCAUAUGUUUUCUUAAUCACUCAUCACAAAGCACCCCCUUUCCUCGUCACGUGACACAAAUAAAAGUGGUUCUCGACAUAAUUUGCCGCUCCCUUUGAAGUUUGCCGGCUAGCCUAACCAUCUAAUUCUAUUAACCGUGCUGCA
rnacentral:lncRNA from 1 species